UACCUCUCAGGAUCCCACCUGGAGAGUUUCCAGUCCUCUACCAGUCUCGGCUACGGGAGGGGGAGUCAAGCAGAGGCCUACCAAUUCCGUUCCUAGCUUGGGCAGCGGCUAGUGAGUGGAAGACAAUCUGCUACAAGU
rnacentral:snoRNA from 1 species